UACGGGGGGGCAAGCGUUGUUCGGAAUUACUGGGCGUAAAGGGCUCGUAGGCGGCCAACUAAGUCAGACGUGAAAUCCCUCGGACCUUAACCGGGGACUGACGGUCUGAUACUGGAUGGCUUGAGUCCGGGAGAGGUGGAGUGGACUGCGGAAGUGGUAGAGGUGAAAUUCGAUUAGAUAUUCGCAAGAACGACCAGUGGCGAAGGCGGCUCACUGGCCCGGUACGUGACGCUGAGGCACGAAAGCGUGGGGAG
rnacentral:rRNA from 1 species